GUCCACGCCCUAAACGAUGUCAACUGGGUGUUGGGGAAGCGAUUCCUUGGUACCGUAGCUAACGCGUGAAGUUGACAGCCUGGGGAGUACGGCCGCAAGGUUAAACUCAAAGGAAUUGACGGGGACCCGCACAAGCGGUGGAUGAUGUGGAUUAAUUCGAUGCAACGCGAACAACCUUACCUACCCUUGACAUGUCCGGAACCCUGCUGAGAGGUGGGGUGCCCGAAGGGAAUCGGAACACAGGUGCUGCAUGGCUGUCGU
rnacentral:rRNA from 1 species